CAUACGGGAGGUUACGCUCAGACGGCCAGCUGACUUGCUGUAUGGUAGACAAGUCACGGUGGCGGUGCCGCGCACGGCUUGAACCACCCAGUACUACAGCACCCUUCCUACAGCGGCGUUCAGGCCGCCCUAACCUGGGGCUUCUGUUGGCCCUGCUGCGUUCAUGCUAGUAUCCAGCCCGGCGCCACCCCUCGGCCCCGCCUGAUGCCUGGUGCCCAAUCCUCACCCCUGCUCCUCAGGCGGCGUUGUGCUGGUUCACUGCAUGAUGGGCAUCAGCCGCUCCGCCUCCACCGUCAUCGCCUACCUCAUGUGGAAGGAGCGCAUCGGCUUCGUGGCGGCGGCGCAGCGCGUGUACGCUGCGCGGCCCUUCAUCUCGCCCAACCCGGGCUUCGUGCUGCAGCUGCGGCUGUGGGAGAAGAUGGGCAUGGACUUCGCGGGCUGGCAGGGGUGGAGCAUGAUCAAGUAAGCUCGUACAGGUUUUCUUAUGGCGUUCAGGGGGGGGGGUACUGUCACGCAGUUUGCGCUUGUCGCACUCGCCUUGGAUAGCCUGUGACAAGGUGUUUGCGCUGCCUCCUGCGCAGGUUCGUGCAGGCAAUGGAGGACGCGGGAGGCUUGGAGAACUGCAUCCUGGAGAACAUUCUGGAGCAACAGCAGCAGCAGCAGCAGCAGCAGCAGGAGCCGGUGCCACAACCGGAUCAGCAGCAGCAGCAGCCGCAGCAGGGCCCUUCGCAGGGGCAGCAGCUGCCGCCGGCAAAGCAGCAGGAGGCGCAAGAGCACCUGGCACAGGAGCAGGCGCAGGCACAGGCGCAGGUGGUGCACUAACGCAAAGGCUGGGAUGGAGGGCGUGAGCAGGGGGACAAUUUCAAGGGGCAGGGAGGUGAUUCUGGGCAGCUCAAUGGCGUGAGAACCUCUGUGGAGGAGUAAUCUCGAGGGGUCGAGGGCUACCCGCACCUCUUCUGUCACGGAUGCGUUGCGGCUUCCCGAAGAGCAGUGCACUAGCGAAUCUUCGGGCAGGACGCAGGUGCAGGGGUUAGAGAGGAACAGGAGAGGCGGCAUCGGAAUGAGCAGCAGGCAGGGUUGUACCGCAGCCGGGAUCCUCCUUGGUGCUUAACUGGUCUGAAGAGUGAAAUGGCUGUAUGAGUGCAUAAUAAACACGGGCUCGUCGUACAGGGGACUGGUUGUAGAAGGCGCGCGAGGAGUCUUUUGUACAAUAUAGGCUGGGUAGCCUGGGAAGAACAAGACCGCGUGCAAGGGGAGCAGCUGGUUGCAAGGGCGGGCCCGGAUGGGGGCGGGCCCGGAUGGGGUUUUCACUGAACCUGCCGCCGUGCAGAGACGUGACAAGUAUUUGAUACGGUGCUUCGUGAUACCAGAAACAAAGGGUACGUGUCUGCCCGUGCGAUGAAUACAAUAUGGAGCUCCCGUGCGCGCCACACUACCGAACGUUCACCUGAACGCAUCUUUUAGCACUGGGUUACAAACUGAUCUGCUCAGUGAAUCUGGGUGGCGCUUGCGUGUGCUCUGUGUGUGCCAAGCUGUGUGCCACGGUUCAAGGUAGUUCGUGGUGGGUGAGAGGUCAGAUAGAACUCAUAGAAGUGUAUGCGCGGAUGUACACGCUGUGCUACAGUAAAAUGGCGCUUAAGGAGUAAGUGCUUUGUCCCUUGUUCUGACGGCGGGCGGUUACGAGUGUCCAGGGCGGUGGGUGCAGGUCCGUGUGCAGCUUGACGUCCGGUCUGCACCUUCCUGUACAGUCACUUACAGGAAUGAGCUGAAAGUAGCCUGCCGGGUACGUGUCUAUGCGAGGGCACGGGGCGUCAAGUUGAUGGGCGCCCCAUGCAGCUCGUUCUCCAUGAUCAUGGCCCCUGGUAGUAACCUGUCACUGUAUAUCUGCUAGACGUGUUGCCUUUUCCAGUUGUCUUAGAAAGCUCUCUGGCGAGCCCUUGCUGCGAGAAGAAAUGUUUUGACAGUCCUUGUGAGCGCAACGAGAAUGGCAAAAAGUCCUACGCAGUUUGUAGACAUCCAGACGGCGCCAGCUCAAGUAAACGGCUGUCAGGCUGUUACUCCAGGCUUGCUAAUAAGCAGCUUUGCAGUUGAGGCGUCGGAAAGCCAGCUAAGAGAGCAAGGAGUUACACACAUUUUACAGGUGAGGGAUGCGAGUGGCAAUUCGAGCGGCCGAGGGAACCCUUGGGAAAACAUCGUUGGUGCGCUGCGCUGGCUGACACACCGCGACACGGUUGUAGGCGCUAGAAACUGAUUGUGUAAAUCUUCUUGGAUUGUUAUGGAACGGGCGCUUCUGUGGUUUGGCGCUUGCCCGCGCUUGCGCUGCCUUUACCUGCUCUGCGCUGGCGCUCGUCCCUUACGCCGUCGCAGGUUGGGAUAGAGCUCAAGUCAUCACACCCUGGUGAGAAUGAGAUAGCCGUCAUGUAGGAAAAAGCGCCGGCGGCUUUUUCUAUACGCGAAUCGCAACGAGUAGAGACACCAACAGCGCCUGCAUUAGCGUGCGCUGGGGAUGAAUAGCUCGCGCGCAGUGCGGUUACCCUGGGCAGCUGAUGCUGGGCUGCAGGACCAACGGCCACCGCGACCGGACCGGGUUUUGGGUGCCCCUGCCCCUGCCUCUGGCACCCCUGCAGAGCUGGAAGCCCAGUCGGCGCGCUGGCAUGCAAUGACCGCAAGGAGCCAGCAUUGCCCAAAACAGCUGCAGAAACGCGUGCCAGUUUCAUCCCCAACAUGUUGUUCUGUACCGUUCCACAGGCAAAUUCGAGUACCUGGUGGUGCCCAUCCUAGAUGCCGAGGGCGUUGACCUGGUGGCCACGCUGCCGCCGAUGUUUGGCUUCAUCGAGGCGGCUGCCGCCAAAGGUGCGACCGCUGCAUGUACCGGGCUGGGUGCCAGGGAACUGGGCUGGGCUCUGGGGUUUGAUCCAUUUCUCAUUUCCGGGCUUCUCACAACAUUCCCCAUUCCUCGUUGCCCUCCUCCUGCUCCUCAGGCGGCGUUGUGCUGGUUCACUGCAUGAUGGGCAUCAGCCGCUCCGCCUCCACCGUCAUCGCCUACCUCAUGUGGAAGGAGCACAUCGGCUUCGUGGCGGCGGCGGAGCGCGUGUACGCUGCGCGGCCCUUCAUCUCGCCCAACCCGGGCUUCGUGCUGCAGCU
rnacentral:lncRNA from 1 species